GCACACAGCGUGGCCUGGGCCAGAAACAAAGGCCUCCGUCUGAUGGCUUGCAGAGAACACCGAGAGCUCUGCAGUUCUGCUAACAGUUUACCUAAUUAAGAUUUAGAUUGUGAAAUAAACUGCAAAAGAAGCCGGAGCUGUGUGCAGGACAGACAGGUAGGAGCCUGCAGAAAGUGCCAAGCACUGCGAGGCAGCUGCUCACAAUGCCUCCACUGGGUGCAGCAGCGGGAGAAGCGGGGCACGAGCUCAGCCACCAGCAGAGCAGGAACGAGCGGCCAAAGGAAGCGCGUGGUGCUGCUCCAAGCUGAGCCGGGACGGGGCGUGUGGGGCAGCUGCCCAAGGACUGCGCAUCCCCAGCGCUCCAACUUGAGGGCGAGCGGGGGUCUGCGGCCCACUGGGAGCUGCAGCAGCGGUAACAUGGCACACUAUGGCACCAGAGGUGUGAGCCUGGAAUGGACGCGUCUGAAAGCUGAAGCUGAUCCGGCACGAACUCCUGGAAGAGCCGAGGGAUGUCUAAAGGCGCUAUUUCCAUCCCGUUCCUCCCUUCCCGUGCUCUCCAACACACGACACCCAGCCGUGACCUGGGGAGGACGGGCUGCCCGCACACAGUGCUCCCCCCACACCGUGCCAGCGCACCGCUCUCCGGCUGGGCUGCAGCCCCACCAGUGCCACCAGGAGCUCCUGCAGUCAGCAGGGAGUGAAGGAAACCCAGACCCGCUAUUACCGGCACAGCUGCUGAAUACUCCAGAAAGAUGAAAACUGUGGGACAGGUUGAAAGGAAAGGCUUGGUCUGACUGCAUCCUCGUGCUUUCCCUGGGGCCUGGCAGGGCACUUGGCAAUAUGUGGUUUUUCAGACCAACUGUAUCUUUGUAUUACAGCUUUUGCUUAUCUGCUGCAAAAGUUUUGAAUAAAAUGUGUUAAUAAACCGUUUUCAGAAGCAUGUUUGAAAUAGGAAAUGUGACAUUAAAAGUGGUGCUGAGACUACUUGUUGGAAUGUGGUUUCUGACAAAACCCGGACCUUUUUCCUCGCUGCUGUCAGAAUGAAACAGAAGCCUCACAUGAUCCUCAGUGCUCCUUACUGUGAGCUUCUGUUGGCCAGGAUAUGAAGGAUAACCGAAUAGCUCAGUGCAAACAGAAGUUAAAUGCAUCACAAUGCAGUUCUGUACCAGGCCCACCACAGCUCUGUCACCCACUGAUAGGAGCUCAGAGCCACGAGGGGCAGCCAGGCCGACCCCACUGCAGGACCGAAACGCAGCACGAAGGCUUUUAGCCACACAUCCCAUCCCUGGUUCUUCAAUUUUUCUCUUUAUUACUCAGCUUCCUUUGGCGCUGUAGUCCCCCAUGCAGUUACAUGAAUGCCAGUGCACGUACUGAAACAAACCAGCAACCUGGGCUCGGCGCCGCCAUUCGUCAGGACAACUCUGUCAUUAGCAGCCUCGUGCUCCACAAGCAAAGCCUGAGAGCUGGAGCCAGGGUGGCAAGGUUCAGGAGAGGAAAAAGAAAACAACAGGAGAGGCGAUGGCUGCAGCAGGCGCUGCUGGGGGAGGCAGCAGCACAGACCAGCAGCGGCCUCUCCAUGGGCCUGGAUGGUGCAAAAAAAGAAAGAAAUACCUUUUUGAAGAUGAAAGGCUUCUGGUCUGAAUGAGAAGCAAACUUUUCCAAAAGCUGUCUUUACAAUCUGUUUUUUUUUUUUGGUUUGUUUGUUUGUUUGUUUGUUUAAAUCUGAAUCAGAAUUUAGAGCACUUAAAGCUUGCAUGGCUGGCGUGGCUGAAAGUGUCCAGGAAUAAUGAUCUCAACUUGAGCAACAUAGAGUUGCAUAGUUAAGACUAAAAAUCCCAGUUGAUGUAAUGUGCUUAACUUAAGCUGGGAAAUUUUGAAGAGGAAGUACAUAAUGAUACGAACCAGAAUGACUAUGCCAGCCACAGGUUUAACUCUGAGCCUAAAUGAUUCUGCAAGGAUAGCCUUGCAUAACCACGUGCUUCUGAGUUUAAUUGGCCGCAUUUUGACACUACUAUAGGCUAACUUAAGACUCGUCAGCUUCCUCCAGUGCCUUCCUCGGAGAACGCCAACCCUUCCCAUUUGCUCUCCUGGGGCCCCACCCUCUUCACAUCUAUGUGAACUUUCUUAAAUUAGCAUCUUAUGGAUAUUCUAAACUACAUUUUGCUAACUACCUAUACCCAUGUGAAAGCCUAUAAGAGACUUUUUCCGUAAGCUAAGUUACAGGCUUUCACAGUACAUUCAAAGCUUUGAAUUGAAUUUGUAAAUGUACUAUGAAAGCCUGGUAUUUUUUAAAUGUUUCAAACCCUAAUCUAUCAGAUAUAACGCUGGUUCUGCUUUGAAAAAAAAAUAAAAAAAAUAGUCAAAGCAAUUUAAACAUACCAUUAAAACAGAAAAAGGCACUGCAGAGCAGAGGAACCGCAUGCCAAAUUCCAUCUAUGUGCCAACUGGCAGCUGAGUUACAACUCCUAGAAACACCAUUAGAUAUUGUAUGUCAAGUUGUGAUAAUAAAAUUUCCAAGGAAAAAGCCCUAAAUGGUAGUACAGAUUUAUUUUAAGCUACCUUCGUUCAAAGUCUUUCAGGUAUUACUUCAUCAUCUCAAGGAGUCUGCAUUUACAUGAAUGUGGUGCUUUGUUUGACUCCUUCUGACAAAUCAUAUUUGACAUCAAAGAGGGCUGUUUGAGAAUGCCAUGUUUGACAUUGGACAAAGUACUCCUUCCCACAACAGACAUUUUCCAAAAGCAUAACUCGCUAGACUAAUGGGCAGUUAGGAGCCAGAAUGACUGCCCUCCGUCUUCUCCUUGUGUAACUUUGCCAGAGUCCUUGGAACUUGCCAAAUUCGGUCAUGCCUGCUUAGCUUGCUCGACUGAUUGUGCCAGAAAAGAAAAUAAGACACAGAUGUAUUUGAGCUCUUUGAGAUGCCAGUAAGAGAGACAGCUAAUGGCUUCAUUUCGACCCUCCCCUACCAGCUGGGCACAGGUGGGGGGAUAAUGAGGUCCCUCUCCCUAAUCAAACUCAAUUAUUUACUACUCUAUACAACCACAAAGACAUUCGCAUUCAGCUCAGAAUAUAAAAUGCACCGUGGGCUACUUCCAACCACUGAUACUGGGUAUUUAUAACUAACUCAAGUGACUACGAGUUUGCCUUGGCAGGAGUUUAAGUGUAUAAAGUUCUGCAAACUGGUUUUGCUCAAAUAUGCCCUGCUGAAAUGAGGUUCCUGGUGAGGUUCCAUAACUGUCAGCUCAGUGACUGCACAACAUCUGAGAAUAUAUCCAACAUGCAGGAUGGGUGAGAUCUGAAAUAAAACACCGUGCUUCAUUAGGAAGCUUCUCAGAGGCAUCAAGUUUCUGCAGCAGCGAUUCAAUAUUAAUAAACAUUACAAGUCAUAUGCCUGACACAGCAGCAGCUGAAAUACUUUAGAAUGGGGAAGGAAAAAAAGAUGCAAAAUAUAAAAACAUAACUACACACACUGGUUUGAUGAAAGAGAAGGAAAGCAGGAAGAUGUAGAAUUUAAAUCCCUAUAACAAUGAGAUGGUCUGUACACUUAAACACGCAGUAGUAACAAUCUUUUGAUCAAGUGAUGAUCAACUAGUUGUCUAUUCUAGGAGACACUAAAAAUUCUGAUGUUAUUCUGUGUUAACUAUGUACACGAGUACAAGCAAUUCUGAGUUAACACGUGGGCACAAAAAAUCUCUCAGAAAAGUACCUCUACUUAUGAUGCAGUUAAGCUAUUUCUAAUCUGCAGGACAUUCCAAGCCAGAUCACAGGGGACUCACAAGAACAUACAUCAUGUCAAAGAUUUCUUUUGCAAGCUUUGCAGAUGGACCUUAGC